AUACGGAGGGUGCAAGCGUUAAUCGGAAUUACUGGGCGUAAAGCGCACGUAGGCGGUUUAUCAAGUUAGGCGUGAAAGCCCCGGGCUCAACCCGGGAACUGCGCUUAUUACUGAUAGACUAGAGAGCGGGAGAGGGUAGCGGAAUUCCCAGUGUAGAGGUGAAAUUCGUAGAUAUUGGGAAGAACACCAGUUGCGAAGGCGGCUACCUGGCCCGGUACUGACGCUGAGGUGCGAAAGCGUGGGGAGCAAACAGGAUUAGAUACCCGAGUAGUCC
rnacentral:rRNA from 1 species